CACACGUGGGGUUCAGGUCGUCCGGCUCGUCCGGAGGCCAUCCGGUGCUCGAUAAGAGCUCUCACACCCCACGGAGGCCAACCGGAAAAAUGGAGACAA
rnacentral:sRNA from 1 species